rnacentral:rRNA from 1 species
CGGGGUAGAGUAACGCGUGAGGAACCUGCCUCAAAGAGGGGGACAACAGUUGGAAACGACUGCUAAUACCGCAUAAGCCCACGGCUCGGCAUCGAGCAGAGGGAAAAGGAGCAAUCCGCUUUGAGAUGGCCUCGCGUCCGAUUAGCUAGUUGGUGAGGUAAUGGCCCACCAAGGCAACGAUCGGUAGCCGGACUGAGAGGUUGAACGGCCACAUUGGGACUGAGACACGGCCCAG